UGGAAAAUGGUGCAGCUACUACAAACCAUAUUUUCCAAGAAAUUUUUGUACUAGGGACACAAAACUAAAAAGACAUAAAAAGAUUAUAAAAUGGGGCUUUUCUCUGGGAUUAUAUGUGAUUUUAAUUUUCAUCUUUAAUAUUUCUGUACUCCCCAAACUUUUAUAUUUUAAUGAGAAAGUGUUUUUUAAUCAUAAAACGAUUUUUAAAAACCCAUUAUUCAUCCCACAACUAGAAGGACAUGCAACUAAGAUAUAUAACUGUGUACAGGGGGUGCUUGGGGAGAUAAAGCAGGAAAAAAAAACCCCACUAUUCGUUUUCCUUUUUGGCCUUCAUCCUGUCAUUGUUACUGUUUCUCAGAGACAGUUUACAUCUGAAUCCAGGUGCGGGCAGGUGCACGGAUAGGACUCAGAACCUGCAUUUUAUCCUGGCUCACAGAAACCCAGGAACGCAUCCCCACCUCGAAACUGAGAUGGGAAAGGAGAAACUAGAAUCUUUAAUAUCAGGUGGGAUGAGGCGUCCUGUCUCCACAGAAGCCGCUCCUCUCCAGAGAAAGACGAACAGAUGAGAAUAUUCCUCUGGGCUGAAGCAGCACCAUGCCCGGGAGGAAAGCUCUAACCAGCCCCUUGUGAUCUGGCUGCCGCCAGGGCCAGCUGUGAGGACAGGGGGUCUCCGCCGCAGGGAAAGGAAGCGGGGUCUCUAGUCCCAGGUGGAGGUGGAGGUGGAUGCAGUGGGCUCCCUCCCUGGUGACUGCACGGCCGUCUCUUCCCUUGCUUCUACUUCGUGCCCUGGCCUCAGGCUCAGCGAAGCGGCACAGAGAGGUGGAGUGACUUCCUGAUGAGAGUGCAUCUUCAUUGCUGGAAAGCCUGAAUGAGGCACAAUUCUUCUCCAGGUGUUUUUCUAUUUAACUCAAAUCUCGUCAAAAUCCUCUAAGAAGGAAAGUUCACUGAUGUAAGAGGUUCGUAUUUUAUGUAAGUACAGGUGUGCAUAGAAAAAAAAUCGGAAAGAAUAUGCAUCAAAUUGUGGGAGGUAAUCUUUGCUCCUAUCCUUCCUGUCUUUAACAGAUGAUGCAAUGUGCAUGGAUUACUGAAUUCUAAGUACUGUGAAAGGCACUUUCACUUAAUUAUCUCAAGUUCUCCCAACACCAUGAAGUAGGUACUACUUUGCCUACUUUAUAGAUUUAAAAAAUGGAAGCACAGAGAAGUUAGCUUAUUUAUUCAAGGUCACACAGCUGGUAAAGUGCUGGUUUAUACCCAACAGCCUGAAUCUGGAGCCAGCUCUCUUAUGAGUGGGC
rnacentral:lncRNA from 1 species